rnacentral:rRNA from 1 species
UUGAUCCUGGCUCAGGACGAACGCUGGCGGCGUGCCUAACACAUGCAAGUCGAACGGAUACAGUCGGGUAGUAUACUACGCCACUGUUUUAUUGGCGGAGGGUGGAUUAACCGUGGGGCAACCGCCCUUAAAAAGGGGAAUACCCUUGAAAAAUACUGGCUAAUACCCCAUACCUUCUUUUAGGCCCUUGAUUUGUUAAUGAAAGGACAACUCCCCUCUAUAAGGGGUCCCCUCCGGAUUAUCUAUUUGGGGAGAUACGACCCCCCCAAAGCGACAAUCAUUACCCGAUCGGAAAGGAUGACCGGCCACUCGGGAACUGAAACCCGGCUAGAACUCUACGGAGGCAGCAUGGUGGAAUAUUGUCACAUGAGUGGAAGCAUCCCUGCAUGCAGCAACGCCUGCUGGAGGAAGAGGUUUUCGGAUUAACUCUGUCUUUGGGAAGAUAAUGACGGUACCACCUAUGAGACCACCGCUAACUACUGCGCCAGCCGCGUAAUACUAGGUGUGAGCGUUGUCCGGAAUUUCUCUGGGUAAAGGGCGCGUAGGCGGUCUCAGCUCAGUGUGGAAACCCUAGGGCUUAACCUUGAGACUUGCAAUGAAACUGAAUGGUCUCAGUGCGAGAGGAAGCGGAAUUCCUAUGUAGCGGUGAAUGCUAGAUAUUAGAGGAACACCAUGGGAAGGCGGCUUUCUGGACGAUACUGACGCUGAGCGCGAAAGCGUGGGAGCAAACAGGAUUAAUACUGGUAGUCCACGCUGUAAACGAUGGAUACUAGUGUGGGUAGGUAUCGACAACCCUUCCCUGCCAGUAAACACAUUAAGUAUCCCCCCUGUGGGAGUACGUCGCAAGCUAACUCAAGGAGUUGACGGGGCCCGCACAGCAGCUGAGCAUGUGUUUAUUCAAGCAACGCGAGACCUUAUCCAGGUCUGCAUCCCUUUGAUCGGUAUAAAGAAAGACUACGCUUUUCCUUUGAGCAGAGAGACAGAGUGCAGUCGCUUGUCUCAGCUCUGUCGUGAAUGUAUGGGUUAAGUCCGCAGCGAGCGCACCCCUCGAUUGGUUGCCAUCAUUCAGUGCACACUUUAAUAGACGCCGUGACACAAACCGGAAGAGGGGGGGGGAGAUGUCAUCUCCUCAUGCCCUUUAUGUCGUGGGACACACAUAUGACACAAUGGUUGGUCCAGAUGGAAGGGAGGGAGCGAUCGGGAGCGGAUCCCAAAAAGCCUGUCAUAUUUGGGAUCACAGGGCAAAACUCGCGCGCGAGAUGUGAGAAUCUAGUGUAAUCAGAGCUCCGCAUACCGUGGAGAAUGUUUUCCGGCGCUUUGCACACCCCCCCUCUCACCCCGAGAAGGUGGAACACACCAGAAGCGUAGGACCUAACGCAAGGGAAGGAGCCGUC